GCCUGGGUGGCUUAGUCGGUUGAGUGUCUGACUUUGGCUCAGGUCAUGAUCCCAUGGUUUGUAAGUUCGAUCCCCACGUCAGGCU
rnacentral:tRNA from 1 species